rnacentral:misc_RNA from 1 species
GAUGAAGAACGCAGCGAAAUGCGAUAAGUAAUGUGAAUUGCAGAAUUCAAUGAAUCAUCGAAUCUUUGAACGCACAUUGCGCCCGCUAGUAUUCUGGCGGGCAUGCCUGUCCGAGCGUCAUUUCAACCCUCAAGCCCCCGGGCUUGGUGUUGGGGAUCGGCGAGCCUCCGCGCCCGCCGUCCCCUAAAUCUAGUGGCGGUCUCGCUGUAGCUUCCUCUGCGUAGUAGCACACCUCGCACUGGGAAACAGCGCGGCCACGCCGUUAAACCCCCAACUUCUGAACGUUUGACCUCGGAUCAGGUAGGAAUACCCGCUGAACUUAAGCAUAUCAAUAAGCGGAGGA